UGAAAAGCAUUGAAAGAGCCAGUAAGCUUUUUACUGAUCAAUGAUACAGGGAUGCCUUGCCGCGACUGGAAGCAAGCACAUUGAUAAAAAGCUGAAGUUUCACUCUGGAGCUGACGUUCGGGACCUUGAUAGAACAAUCAAGUAAAGAACGUUCCGGAUUAUGUCCGUUACAACAAUCAAGUGGGCAAUUAAUUUUGCCAACUAGGGUGGUACCGCGAAAUUUACAAACCUCGUCCCUUUU
rnacentral:ncRNA from 1 species